GGCGCGGUGGCCUAAUGGUUAUCGCGUUGGACUCCAGAUCGAGCUGUCCGGGUUCGAUCCCUGGCCGUGAUG